CUUGCUCUGGACUUCCGUUUUCACCAUUGAAGAUGAUUCCUAUUGGGAUUUCAAGGUCACCAUCAGCAGCAUUCUACAGAGGGGGGAAAAACAGUGAGUUAACCUGUUGGUGGAGAGUAACACAAGUAUAAAAGGUCAAAGUAUUGUAUUUCUAUAAAUGCUGUUUAUUAUUUAAGUACAAGUUAAUUGUAAAAAAAAAAAAAAAAAAAAAAAAAAAAACGGAAAAUCUGGGGAAUCUGUAAGGCUUAUUGUCAUUAUACAACUGUAUAAUGAAGUUUGUCCUCUGCAUUUUACAUUUGAAAUAAAGAUGAUGAGCUUCAUCUAACACCGUCCAUUGGUUCACUCUUCUACUCUGGUCCACUUGUAAAGGUACCCACAGACAAAUAAACAAAAACCAAGGCACUCUGUCUGUUAUGAAAAAGUUACAAGCCUUUAUUUUAUCAUGGCCUUCAAUUAAAAAAAUUACCCAAUGCAUUUCAGCCAAGGUGGCUUUUAUCAGAGUGCAGAAACAAAAUGUUUUGUUAUCUGUGGGUACCUUUACAAUUUUACAUUUACCAAAUGGACCAUCCUGUGUAAUAUUUUCUCACAUUUAACUGCAUGUUUUGAUGACAUUUUCAGCACUAUUUUUUACUUUGUUUUGGACAAUGAUUUUGCCCAAUUUGUGGAAUAUCCAAAUUUAGCUCUAUUCCUCUGCUUAAUCUAAUGUUUCAACAUUUCUAGAAAUUAUGCAUACAUUUAAUUUACAUUUAAUUUCAGACAAAAAAACAACAACUAAAUUUUGCAUGAAAUAUAAACUGUGUCCAAACAUUCUGGAUUAAAAUAUUGUGUGACCUAUUUGGGCCAAAAGCAAAGCAAACACUUCAAAGCUGAUCUUAAAGUAAUUUAAGUUGCAAUUUCUAUCCCUCCAUGUCCAAAUCACUACUAUAUGAGGUGGUUUCCCUGCUCAACCCUCUACACUCAGUAUAGAGGUACUGUACAUGGUACUAAAAUGAAGGAAGGCUCAUUUUUCUUAACAGCAGAUCCCAAUGUACUCUGUCUACAGUAUGAUUGUUGUUGUUUUGUCUGUUUCUUUAUUAUUUAUGCGCUGUGUACAUGAAAAAUUAUUUCAUUUUGGGAACAAUAAUAUCUAUAGUCUGUGGACAGCUUUAUUACCCAUCAACAUUUUAAAAACCAUGUGAAGGACUCUGACUACAUUGUAUGUUUUACAGGAUUUGUAAAAACUGUUAAAAGGUCUCUCUUGCAAAUGCGACUCAGAGUCUCAAGAGACAUACCUGUGUAAAUCAACAAUAAAAAUAAUAAAAUAAAUAAAUCUA